rnacentral:rRNA from 1 species
UACGAAGGGGGCUAGCGUUGCUCGGAAUCACUGGGCGUAAAGGGUGCGUAGGCGGGUCUUUUAAGUCAGGGGGUGAAAUCCUGGAGCUCAACUCCAGAACUGCCUUUGAUACUGAAGAUCUUGAGUUCGGGAGAGGUGAGUGGAACUGCGAGUGUAGAGGUGAAAUUCGUAGAUAUUCGCAAGAACACCAGUGGCGAAGGCGGCUCACUGGCCCGAUACUGACGCUGAGGCACGAAAGCGUGGGGGAGCGAACAGG